CCUGGUGAAAAUUUUUAUAUUAGGUCUAACCUGCUCAAUGAAUAAUUAAAUAGCCGCAGUAUUUUGACUGUGCGAAGGUAGCAUAAUCAUUUGUCUUUUAAUUGAAGGCUUGUAUGAAUGGUUGGAUGAGGGAAUUGCUUUCUUUAUAUUAUAUGUAUGAAUUUAAUUUUUAGGUUAAAAAGCUUAAAUUUUUAAAUGGGACGAGAAGACCCUAUAGAAUUUCAUUUGAAGUUUAAUUUCUUAAUAAUUGGUUAAAUAUUUUAUGUUUUUUAAUUUCAAAUUUUGUUGGGGUGACAGUAAGAUCAAUUUAACUCUUAUAAUUUAUAUUUUAUUUAUUUAUAUAUAAAAGAUCCUAUUUUAUGGAUAUCUAGAUUAAAUUACCUUAGGGAUAACAGCGUUAUUUCUCUGGAGAGUUCUUAUCGAUAGAGGAGUUUGCGACCUCGAUGUUGGAUUAAAAUUAGAUUUAAGUGCAGUAGCUUAAUUUCUAGGUCUGUUCGACCUUUAAAAUUUUACA
rnacentral:rRNA from 1 species